UUAAAAAUAAGCUAAAAUAAAGCUUUUGGGCUCAUACCUCAAAUAUAAAGGAUUACCCUUUUUUUUAA
rnacentral:tRNA from 1 species